ensembl:lncRNA
AUUUGUUUAGGCCAGUGAAAGCAAUAAUUAUCCUCACGCUAGACUUCACGCUGCUUUUCAAAAGCAGAAUUCUCUCAUAUUUCUGCUUGCUUCAAUGGAACACGUUUCUGCUCAACUUCCAAGUGUCAGAAAUUGCCCUGAGAGAGAAAGAGAGAAGGAAGACAAGAGAGGAGAAAACAUUAUGAAAUGUCAGCAGCUCAAAUGGAUUACUGUUCAAUAUCAGUCAAGACACUCUGAAAAGGAAAGUGAGGGAGAAUAUUCGUUUGUGGGUGAAUGUGCGUGUGUUUGCGUGAUGCCGAUGCUUUUAAAUUGUUCUUUUUGUUUUUCCAUCAGCGGUGAGGUGCUCUCUUGGCUUAUCUCCUCAGCAGUGGACGUGUGGCGGGACGAUGUUCUAGGAAAAUGAACUGUCGCCGUAUCCCUCAAGCGCGUCUACCUCGCACACUCCGAGGCGCAUACACAAAUAUAUAAGCCACUCAGGCUUCUCUGCUGUUUGUGCACACCUUGUUGCCUCCGGAGGGGCAAUUACCGAUGCUCACAGCCUGUCUGAGGUGUCAGUGGAUGGGCUCCCAUCCCAAUCCUCUCCCUCUGUCCAUCUCUCCUCUCCAUUAUCAGCAGGGUAAAUAAUGCCCCUGCCUCUGAUGCUGAUGGAGAUGUGACUGGGACAACUGAUCCAAUUGCCCUCCGCUCAAUUUAUCUUUAGCAGCUAAAGCGGCGUUUUAGCGUUCAAAACAAUAAGAGCUAGAAACCCAGAAAUUCCCAAAUGAACUGGAAACCCUCUGCCAGGAGACAGGUUGAGGGUAGAGGCUUUUGGAAGCCCUUUCAGGAGGUUCCACUCAUUAGUGGUCAGCUGCACCCUGAACAUUCAGACUCUCCUGUCCCCCCUCUCCUCUCCAGGCCCUGAUGAAACCCUUUUCACCCACUCAGGGAAAGAAAAUGGCUUCAGGAGGAGGAGAAAAUCUUAGAGGUGCAUUGCACAAAGACUCCUGGAUGUCAACAGGCACAUAAUGAUACCUGAUAGCCCCUGGAAAACACUCCUCUCUUCUUUCUUUUAAUUUGCCUCUUUUUCUUUUCCUAUAGAGCCCUUCUUGGCCCUACACGCCUUGGACGCGAUGCACUUGAAAGCAUAAUUAGAGGUAAAACAGUGACUGGAUCUCCCAUCAUCCUUCUGCGUGGCCAUCGCAAAGUCCUUUGUUUUUAAACCUCUCUCCUCAAAAAAUCUCCUUUUCUCCCUGACUUUUUGAAAAGCUGCUCUAAAGGAGGUGGGGGGAGUGAGAGGGUGAAAAGUGGGAGCAAGAGAGAAAGAGAAAACGCAAGAGAGUUCCCUCUGCGAGUCGCCAAGGUGCUCUCUAGUCCAUUGUGCAGUGUGCUGUCAGGUUAAAUUAGGGAGUACAGGCUCUGUGAGUGUAAAAAAAUCAAUACUUGAUGGAAGAUUGCUCCCCGGAAAAUCUGUUUUGAUUCCAGGAUUAAUUCUUGACCAAAGGCUCCGCUGAAAUGACAUGCCAUUAGGGCCGAAAAUGAACACAUUCGGCAGUGGAAAUUGGAUGGAAAUGUGUCAGGUGAUUGCCCCGGCUGCUUGUUUUGCUCUCCUGGAGAGUGAGAGAGGAAGGGAGAGCGCGUGAGGGGGAAAGCGCAGCACUGGAGGAAGGUGUGGCGGCAAAAAGCCUCGGAUCCGCAGGCCCCUCGGAAUACAUUUUCAGGCCUCGCCGCGGCCCUCCGGAGUAUUGUCUGGGCCAUUGUUGUUCGGCUCCUGCAAAUGCACUCUGUGCAAGGUGAAAUGCAUUUGUCCACUGGCUGCGUCUCUCCUGUGUGUUCCCACAAAGCACAAGAUGAAGAAUAGCUCAUCUUAAAAUAAAGCAGGGACCUCUUUUCUUUGUCUCUGUGGUGCGGACGAAAGAAAGGGAAAAUGCAAUAUUGAUGAGAGUAAUGUGUUUGUCAUCGCUUGUAGCGUAUCUCCUGCACCUGAGUACAAGAAACGAAAACACAAGACGCUGCUCGCUAAGAUAACGUGCUUUAAAAGCAUUAUAAAGUGCUGGAACUAGAGUUAAAAUGGAAGAAAUCAAUAGAAAAUUAGUUGAUUGAGUAUGUUUUUAUUUUUUAUUUUUUUGUCCUGAAAGUCUACUCCAAGCUUAAAGUAAAC